UAGUGCUGGAAGGUGGCUGAUAGAGA
rnacentral:piRNA from 1 species